rnacentral:misc_RNA from 1 species
AACGCACCUUGCGCCCCUUGGUAUUCCGAGGGGCACACCCGUUUGAGUGUCGUGAAAUUCUCAAACCUUCUUGGUUUCUUGAUCAAGAUGGCUUUGGACUUUGGAGGCAUUUGCUGGCUUUGCGAAGAGCCAGCUCCUCUUGAAUGCAUUAGUGGGGUCCCCUUUGCCGAUCCCCAGGCGUGAUAAGAUGUUUCUACGUCUUGGGAUUUGCUCUGCUCCUUGGGAACCUGCUUCUAACCGUCUCAUGGAAGACAUCGUUCGAGCUUGCUCGACCCACGAACCUUGACCUCAAAUCGGGUGAGACUACCCGCUGAACUUAA